rnacentral:rRNA from 1 species
AUUGACCGCUGGCGGUAUGCUUAACACAUGCAAGUCGAACGGUAACAGGCCUUCGGGCGCUGACGAGUGGCGGACGGUGAGUAACGCGUAGGAAUCUGCCUCAUAGUGGGGACAACGUGGGGAAACUCACGCUAAUACCGCAUACGCCCUACGGGGAAAGCGGGGAUCUUCGGACCUCGCGCUAUGAGAUGAGCCUGCGUUAGAUUAGCUAGUUGGUAGGGUAAAAGGCCUACCAAGGCGACGAUCUAUAGCUGGUCUGAGAGGACGAUCAGCCACACUUGGGGACUGAGACACGGCCCAGACUCCUACGGGAGGCAGCAGUGGGGAAUAUUGGACCAAUGGGCGCAAGCCUGAUCCAGCAAUACCGCGUGUGUGAAGAAGGCCUUAGGGUUGUAAAGCACUUUCAAUUGGGAGGGAAAACCUGCCGGUCAAUACCCGGUAGACUUGACAUUACCUUUAGAAGAAGCACCGGCUAACUACCGUGCCAGCAGU